UAGGGAGCGAGCUUUGUCCGAAGUUACUGGGCGUAAAGCGUGCGCAGGCGGCUUUGCAAGACAGAUGUGAAAUCCCCGGGCUUAACCUGGGAACUGCAUUUGUGACUGCAUGGCUGGAGUGCGGCAGAGGGGGAUGGAAUUCCGCGUGUAGCAGUGAAAUGCGUAGAUAUGCGGGGGAACACCGAUGGCGAAGGCAAUCCCCUGGGCCUGCACUGACGCUCAUGCACGAAAUCGUGGGGAGCAAACAGG
rnacentral:rRNA from 1 species